UACGUAGGGGGCAAGCGUUGUCCGGAAUCAUUGGGCGUAAAGCGCGUGUAGGCGGUCCGGUAAGUCCGCUGUGAAAGUCGGGGCUCAACCCUCGAAUGCCGGUGGAUACUGUCGGGCUAGAGUGCAGAAGGGGCAACUGGAAUUCUCGGUGUAGCGGUGAAAUGCGUAGAUAUCGAGAGGAACACCUGCGGCGAAGGCGGGAUUGCUGGGCUGACACUGACGCUGAGGCGCGAAAGCUAGGGGAGCGAACGGG
rnacentral:rRNA from 1 species